GGGUGGAGCAGUCUGGUAGCUCGUCGGGCUCAUAACCCGAAGGUCAUCGGUUCAAAUCCGGUCCC
rnacentral:tRNA from 1 species